rnacentral:rRNA from 1 species
UGCAUAUCAAUAAGCGGAGGAAAAGAAACCAACAGGGAUGGCUCUAGUAACGGCGAGUGAAGCAGCCAAAGCUCAAAUUUGAAAGCUCCUAACAAGGCGCAUUGUAAUUUGAAGAUGGUAUUCCGAGUUAGUCCUUUACCUCAGUUCCUUGGAACAGGACGCCAUAGAGGGUGAGAGCCCCGUGUGGUAUUGGUAGCUUUCUCAUGUGGUUUACCUUCGAAGAGUCGAGUUGUUUGGGAAUGCAGCUCUAAGUGGGUGGUAAAUUCCAUCUAAAGCUAAAUAUUGGCGAGAGACCGAUAGCGAACAAGUACUGUGAAGGAAAGAUGAAAAGAACUUUGAAAAGAGAGUGAAAAAGUACGUGAAAUUGUUGAAAGGGAAGGGAAUUGGACUAGACUUGGAUUUCUGUUAUCAGCAGUCUUUCGGGGCUGUGCACUAGCAGUUUUCUAGGCCAGGAUCUGUUUGGAGGCCAGGAUAAAACCCAAAGAAUGUGGCUCUUCGGAGUGUUAUAGCUUUGGUUGAAUACUGGCAUUCUGGACAGAGGACCGCGCUUCGUGCUAGGAUCCUGGCGUAAUAGUCCUAUUCCACCCGUCUUGAAACACGGAC